CUUUAAAUGGCUAUAGACUUUUCUUUUAUGUUUCAACUUUUGUUUAUUCUUUUCUGACUACGCUUUUGUUUCUGUAUAUUUGUUUAUUUCGUAAACUGAUUAUAUUGUGUAUUGAACUUUCUGUCUGUUUUUUGACUCUGGAUUAAAUUUCUGAACUGUUUAAUAGACUGCACAUAGAUUCUACUCCACCUGGGCCUGGGAAUGUUUAAUAGAAUACUUUGCCUCUGGAGAAUGUGUGGUUUUGUUAAUGCUGCUAACUGGAAGGACUUAUAAUGGGCUUCUCCAGCCUGGGACAGUGAUGAACGAUCAGAGGCUACUACACGUAUUUCACUCAGCAAAUCUAAAACAUGUUUGAGUAUCUGGCCGGAGGACUGAAUGUUUUGGGACAAUUUUUAAGCCGCUGACUAUGCAAUGAAAUUCUGGACCCUGGCGGCUCAGAGUGGGUGGAAUGACACAACCCUCAAAGCAGUUAUCCAAAAAGGAUUAAACCCCACACUUCAGGCAGAAAGGGCCUGUAAGGACCAAGAUAUCCGCAACCAGUGCCCCUGAGCCCAGCUUAGCACUAUCCCCAGGUGGAACUCGAUGGAACUCGCAUUUCUCUGCAUUGACCACAAGUUGAUGUUGUAUAUUGGACACAUAGGCUGUAACUCUCUACCCUAUCUUCUACCAACCUCACCCCAUUCCAAUGUGUCGUGGGCUACCAACCUCCUUGGAAGGCAUCUGCAGAGAGCAGUUCAAUGUCAAGAGAUAAAAGCAAAUCGUGGAAGAUGUUCCCACCCUCCUAUCAAUCUGGCCAAAAGGCAGAGGUCGGCUCUAAUACCUUGUGGACAGGAGGGUACAGACCGGAGGAGCAGUGUUGGGUAAACUGGGAGGAUAUUCCAGACCUGUCACUGAUCGAGGACAUAACCAUCCUGUCCGACCCGCUCCCCGAACCUGUGUAAGGCUAUGUAGGAAAACACUUAGAGGUGUUCCUAGAAGGGGGAAUCUGCAACAGCUUCAACUGCAGUUGAAGCUGUGGGAAUCUUCCUGAAUUCUAAAAACCUCCGGGUCGAGGGUCACUUCCUGUUUGUAGACUUUGUAACACUCACUGCUGUGCAGUAUUGUGUUUCUGUGAACAUACCAAGCCUUUUUAUAUCUACAGCCUUUUCUAUUGUGUUUUAUAUUUUUCUUAUCCUUUUCUGACUACACUAUUGGUUCUGUGGAUUUGUUUAUUUUGUGGACAUUAUAUUGCGUAUUGAACUUCCGGCCUGUUUUUUUGACUCUUGGAUUCUUGUAUUGCGUUCUUAUACUGUUUAAUAAACUGCACAUGGAUUCUA